UAAUACCCCUGUAGUCGUAAGUCUGUCACUCUCGAAUGUUACCCCCAAGUAGUACGGAACCCCUGAAAUUUCGUACGAAUCUGGCGGGACCACCCGUUAAGCCUAAAUACUCCUUGGUGACCGAUAGCGGACGAGUACCGUGAGGGAAAGGUGAAAAGUACCCCCGGGAGGGGAGUGAAAUAGUACCUGAAACCGAUUGCCUACAAUCCGUCGGAGCCCUGCGGGGGGGUGACGGCGUGCCUUUUGAAGAAUGAGCCUGCGAGUUAGUGGUACGUGGCAAGGUUAACCCGUGGGGGGGUAGCCGUAGCGAAAGCGAGUCCGAAUAGGGCGUUGAGUCGCGUGCUCUAGACCCGAAGCGGAGUGAUCUAUCCAUGGCCAGGUUGAAGCGACGGUAAGACGUCGUGGAGGACCGAACCCACUUAAGUUGAAAAUUGAGGGGGAUGAGCUGUGGAUAGGGGUGAAAGGCCAAUCAAACUCCGUGAUAGCUGGUUCUCCCCCCCGAAAUGCAUAUAGGUGCAGCGUUGCGUGUUUCUUGCCGGAGGUAGAGCACUGGAUAGUCUAGGGGGCCCACAAGCUUACCGAAAUUAGCCAAACUCCGAAUGCCGGUAAGUGAAGCGUGGCAGUGAGACUGUGGGGGGAUAAGCUUCAUAGUCGAGAGGGAAACAGCCCAGAUCACCAACUAAGGCCCCCCCUAAGCGAUAGCUAAGUGGAAAAGGAUGUGGAGUUGCGGAGACAACCAGGAGGUUGGCUUGGAAGCAGCCACCCUUGAAAGAGUGCGUAAUAGCUCACUGGUCAAGUGACUCUGCGCCGACAAUUUAGCGGGGCUCAAGCUAUCCGCCGAAGUUGUGGCAUCAGUAAUGAUGGGUAGGGGGAGCGUCGUGUAUGCGGUGAAGCGGCGGGGUGACCGGUCGUGGAGAGUACACGAGUGAGAAUGCAGGCAUGAGUAGCGAAUGACGGGUGAGAAACCCGUCCGCCGAAUAACCAAGGGUUCCAGGGUCAAGCUAAUCUGCCCUGGGUAAGUCGGGACCUAAGGCGAGGCCGACAGGCGUAGUCGAUGGACAACGGGUUGAUAUUCCCGUACCGGCGAUAUGACGCCCGUGCUGAGGCGAGUGAUGCUAAGGAUGGAAGGUGGGGGGAUGUCUUCGGAUUGAUCCCAGUGACUCUCUGACCCGAUCUUGUAGUAGGCAAGCUGCGGAGGGACGCAGGAAGGUAGCUCUACCGGGCGAUGGUUGUCCCGGGGGUAAGUGUGUAGGACGAGGCGUAGGCAAAUCCGCGUCUCUUGUGUCUGAGACAUGAGGCCGAGCCACACUAUUGUGUGGUGAGUGAGUGAUCCUAUGCUGCCUAGAAAAUCUUCGUGAGCGAGUCAUAUGUGCCGCCCGUACCCUAAACCGACUCAGGUGGUUAGGUAGAGAAUACCAAGGCGAUCGAGAUAAUCGUGGUGAAGGAACUCGGCAAAAUGCCCCCCCCGUAACUUCGGAAUAAGGGGGGGCCUGAUGCGUGAACACACUUGCUGUGGGAGCGUUGAGGGCCGCAGAGACCAGGGGGGGAAGCGACUGUUUACUAAAAACACAGGUCCGUGCCAAGUCGCAAGACGAUGUAUACGGACUGACUCCUGCCCGGUGCUGGAAGGUUAAGGGGGAAGUGUCAGCUUUGCGAAGCACUGAACUUAAGCCCCCCCAGUAAACGGCGGUGGUAACUAUAACCAUCCUAAGGUAGCGAAAUUCCUUGUCGGGUAAGUUCCGACCUGCACGAAUGGAGUAACGAUUUCCCUACUGUCUCCACCACGAACUCGGCGAAAUUGCAUUACGAGUAAAGAUGCUCGUUACGCGCAGCAGGACGGAAAGACCCCCCCGGGACCUUUACUAUAGUUUGGUAUUGGUGAUUGGGACAGCUUGUGUAGGAUAGGUGGGAGACUGUGAAGCAUUCACGCCAGUGAGUGUGGAGUCAACGUUGAAAUACCACUCUGGUUGUUCUAGUUAUCUAACCUAGGUCCGUUAUCCGGAUCAGGGACAGUGCCUGAUGGGUAGUUUGACUGGGGGGGCGGUCGCCUCCCAAAAGGUAACGGAGGCGCCCAAAGGUUCCCUCAGCCUGGUUGGCAAUCAGGUUUUGAGUGUAAGUGCACAAGGGAGCUUGACUGUGAGAGAGACAUCUCGAGCAGGGACGAAAGUCGGGACUAGUGAUCUGACGGUGGCAUGUGGAAGCGCCGUCACUCAACGGAUAAAAGGUACCCCGGGAUAACAGGCUGAUCUUGCCCGAGCGUCCAUAGCGACGGCAUGGUUUGGCACCUCGAUGUCGGCUCGUCGCAUCCUGGGGCUGGAGUCGGUCCCAAGGGUUGGGCUGUUCGCCCAUUAAAGCGGCACGCGAGCUGGGUUUAGAACGUCGUGAGACAGUUCGGUCCCUAUCCGCUGCGCGCGUAGGAAUCUUGAGAAGAGCUGUCCUUAGUACGAGAGGACCGGGACGGACUAACCUCUGGUGUGCCAGUUGUUCCGCCAGGAGCAUCGCUGGUUGGCUACGUUGGGAAGUGAUAACCGCUGAAAGCAUCUAAGCGGGAAGCAUACUUCAAGAUGAGGGUUCCCACCCGUAUGGGUUAAGGCCCCCCCGGAAGACCACCGGGUUGAUAGGUCGGAUGUGGAAGUACAGUAAUGUGCGGAGCUGACCGAUACUAAUAGGCCGAGGGCUUGUUCCU
rnacentral:rRNA from 1 species